UACAGAGGUGGCGAGCGUUAUUCGGAAUUAUUGGGCGUAAAGGGCGCGUAGACGGCCUGGCAAGUGACGGGUGAAAGCCCUCGGCUCAACCGAGGAACUGCCUGUCAUACUGCCGGGCUUGAGUCCGGGAGAGGUGAGUGGAAUUCCCAGUGUAGCGGUGAAAUGCGUAGAUAUUGGGAGGAACACCAGUGGCGAAGGCGGCUCACUGGACCGGAACUGACGCUGAGGCGCGAAAGCGUGGGGAGCAAACAGG
rnacentral:rRNA from 1 species